AAAGUACUCCCUCCGUCCCAAAAUUCUUGUCUUAGAUUUGUCUAGAUACGGAUGUAUCAAGUCACAUUUUAGUAUUAGAUACAUCUGUAUCUAGACAAAUCUAACACAAAAAUUUGGGAUAGAGGGAGUAGUUG
rnacentral:pre_miRNA from 1 species